rnacentral:rRNA from 1 species
AGUGAACGCUGGCGGUAGGCCUAACACAUGCAAGUCGGACGGCAGCACAGGAGAGCUUGCUCUCUGGGUGGCGAGUGGCGGACGGGUGAGGAAUACAUCGGAAUCUACUCUGUCGUGGGGGAUAACGUAGGGAAACUUACGCUAAUACCGCAUACGACCUACGGGUGAAAGCAGGGGACCUUCGGGCCUUGCGCGAUUGAAUGAGCCGAUGUCGGAAUAGCUAGUUGGCGGGGUAAAGGCCCACCAAGGCGACGAUCCGUAGCUGGUCUGAGAGGAUGAUCAGCCACACUGGAACUGAGACACGGUCCAGACUCCUACGGGAGGCAGCAGUGGGGAAUAUUGGACAAUGGGCGCAAGCCUGAUCCAGCCAUACCGCGUGGGUGAAGAAGGCCUUCGGGUUGUAAAGCCCUUUUGUUGGGAAAGAAAUCCAGCUGGCUAAUACCCGGUUGGGAUGACGGUACCCAAAGAAUAAGCACCGGCUAACUUCGUGCCAGCAGCCGCAGUAA